GCUUUCCAACAUGCAAUGCUCCUAAAUCAAAUUAGGACAAGCUGUUAUUCUAUGCUGGACGUUAGGGAAAGAAUUGCAAUCCCUUUGACAGGAUUCUAACAAGGCACAGCAAAGUCUCGCCAGCAGUAAUGAAAUAAAUGACCAAAUCAUCUAUUUUUGGAAUUGGUGGAAGGAUAAAUCUUGGCGUGGAGAUCAACAUUCUCCAGAUGUACUUCAAACAAUGCUACGAGAAUUUUGUGCUCUCAUCCGAGACACAGUACCUGCAACUGUGCAGCACUUCCUCACUACUGUUCUGUAGCAUAUCGAUUUCAGCUUCUGCCUUGGCAAGGUCACAAGCCGCCCGAUUUGCCUCAGCUUGAAAUGUUUCUGCUAACUCCAUUUCCUACAGCAAAAAAAAUGCAAAUCCACAAGUAAAAGAAAGAAUAUUCUGAAUGGUCUACUUCUUUUGGGUGUGGAAAGCCUUCCAGAGACAAAAUGCAAAUUUAGUCCUGCUACAGAACCCUCCAACAAUGUUUCCAAUGGCAGAUAAAUCCAAGAAAACACCAUC